GAUUGACCCUUUCAUUCAGUAUGAACAGAAAACAGCAGAUUUGAAGAUCAUACUCUGUGUGCCUCCUUUAUUCAAGAUCUGGAUGUUGUGUACCUGAUCCAGAGCAUUUUCCAUUCUGGCACCCUCACCAUGAAACUAUCUCUACAGAGAAGCCCCCUUGGCCAGCUCCUGCCUGUCUUAGAAGAAAGGUAGGGCUGAAACCUUUGUAACACAGUGCCCCCAACUCGGAUUCCAUGGAGCCAGUCCAGGAGGAUACCAUGGUCAAUGGUACCAAAAGCCACAGAGGAACUGAGACGCAGGAGCAAGGUUGUACUCCCCCUGUCCUGCUCUCUGUAAAGGUCAUCCACCAGGGCAACCAAGGCUGACUCAGUCCCAUGGCCAAGCCUGAACCCAGAUUGGAAUGGAUCUAAAGCAUCCAUGUCAUCCAAGAAUGCUUGCAGCUGCCCCGCCAAUACUCUCGACCAUCUUCCCCAAGAAGGGGGUGUUUGCUACUAGUUAUUCCACUCCAAGGGCUGAAGGGGACUGUUCCUGGCAAGCUGAAGAUCACCGAUGAAAUAAUGUUUUUAAGCUGUGUUUUAGAAUAUUUUUAACUAUGUUUUAGAAUGUUAAUUGUGUUCUGGAAUGUUUUAAAUUAUUUUUAGUAUGUUUUUCUUGUUAAAUUGUUUUGUUUAUGUUUGCCAUCCUGGGCUCCUUUAAGAGGAAGGAUCGGAUAUAAAUUCAAUUGAUGGUGGUGAUGAUGAUGAUGAUUUGCAUCCUGCCUUUGCUCCCAAGAUGGUGUGAAUGU